AUGUGCAAGUGCAAACCCGAACGAAGAACCACAGUAUCACACAUUCACACCGCGCCUUUGCAGAUUUCCCGCGCACGCAGCAUGGCGAGGGGAUCUUCUGCCGGCGGCAACAAGGCCGGUGGCACCAAAGCCUCGAUCCAAAUCGACUGGACGGCGACGUUCGAGGGGUCUCCAUCGUCGACCAUCGCCGGCGGCGAUGGUUCGGCGAAGAAGGACCCGAAGACGCCGACCUCCGGCGAUCCGUCGAGCAACAACGCGCAGCCACCGAAGAGCGCAGCCACGCCCCCUGCUGAGGGUAAUUCGUCGAGCAAGCCCCCGCGGCCGGCCAAGGGUAACUCCCGUGGAGGCGGGCGUGCGAAAAAGGAGGCGCCGGUCGCACCGCCUCCUUGUCCUUCGACGGCCAUCUUUGGGGACAAAACCAAUCUGGACACCUUUGGCUGCGAUCUCACCGCGGCGGCGGCGAACGCCGACCCCGUCGUUGGGCGCGAGGAUGAGAUCGACCGCGUGGUGUGCAUCCUGUCCCGCAAGUCCAAGAACAGCGCCGUGCUGGUGGGCGCGGCCGGCGUCGGCAAGACGGCCAUCGCCGAGGGCCUGGCGCAGCGCAUCGCCCGCGGCGAGGUGUCCGGGGUCCUGGCCGGCGCGCGCGUCGUGGAGAUCAACGUCGCCGCGAUGGUCUCCGGCACGAGGGCCCGCGGCACGUUCGAGGAGCGGUUCACCGGCCUCAUCGCCGAGGUUGAGGCCGCGGUGGCCGGGAAGGUCGUCCUGUUCAUCGACGAGAUACACACGCUGCUCGGCGCCGGCCGCUUUUCUGGCUGCAUGGACGCGGCCAACAUGCUGAAGCCGGCGCUGGCGAGGGGCCGUGUCCGGUGCCUCGGCGCCACGACGCAUGCCGAGUACCACCACUACUUUCUCCAGGACAAGGCGUUGGAGCGGCGGUUCCAGAAGGUGCACGUCUCGGAGCCCAGCGAGGACGAAACCGUGGCCAUCCUCCGGCGGCUCAAGGCGGCGUACGAGGAGCACCACGGCAUGGAGAUCCAGGACGAGGCGCUCGUCGCCGCCGCCAAGCUCUCCGGCCGCUAUAUCCCAGCACGGCAUUUCCCGGACAAGGCGAUCGAUCUUGUUGAUGAGGCGUGCGCGACGGCGAGGCUGGUGAUGGAUCGCCGGAAGAAGCAAGCCACAGGCGACGGCGACAAGCCCUUGGCGCCCAAGGACGAAAACGUCGGACUGGACCAUAUAGCUCAGAUCGUGAGCAAAUGGACAGGAAUCCCAGUGACCAGUCUCGGGACUGACGAGAGGAAGCGGCUACUGGAGCUGCCGAAGCGGCUGCACUGGCGCGUGAUCGACCAGGACGAGGCGGUGAACGUCGUCGCCGAGGCCGUGGUGCGCUCGCGAUCGGGCCUCGGGGAGCCAAACCAGCCGUCAGGAUCCUUCCUCUUCCUCGGCCCCACCGGCGUCGGCAAGACGGAGCUCGCCAAGGCCCUCGCCGAGCAGCUCUUCGGCAAUGAGAAGCUGCUCGUCCGCAUCGACAUGUCCGAAUACAUGGGCAGCAGCUCCGUCACUCGCCUCAUCGGCGCAUCUCCUGGGUCGUAUGGGUACGAGAAGGGUGGGCAGCUGACGGAGCUGGUGCGGCAGCGCCCCUACAGUGUGGUCCUCCUGGAUGAGGUGGAGAAGGCCGACGCCGCCGUGCUCAAUGUCUUCCUCCAGAUCCUCGACGACGGGCGCGUCACCGACGGGCACGGCCGCACCAUCAACUUCACCAACACCAUCAUCAUCAUGACCUCCAACCUCGGGGCGCACCACCUCCUCGCCCGCGCAGCCACAAAGGACAUGGAAGCCACCCGCAAGCGUGUGAUCGCCGACGUGCGGAGGCACUUCCGCCCCGAGCUCAUCAACCGGCUGAGCGAGAUGGUGAUCUUCCGCCCGCUCUCCGGCGAGCAGCUGCGGAGGGUGGCGAGGAUGCAGCUCAAAGGCAUUGCCGCGCGCCUCGCUGAGAAGGGCAUCGGCCUCGACGUCACGGACGCGGCCCUCGACGUGAUCCUCUCGCGGUCCACCGACCAGGUGCAGAUGUACGGCGCGAGGCCGAUCAAACGCUGCCUGCAGAAGAACGUCAUGACCAGGAUAUCCAAGAUGGUGGUGCGGGAGGAGGUGAACGACGACUGCUACGUGUCUGUCGACGCCGAUGAGGAGAAGAAGGACCUGGUGUUUGCCGUGGACAAGCAGAGUUCCAACGAGAACGACGACCCGUCAUCCUCUUCCACCAAGAAGAGGAAGAGGCCCCCGGCGAAGCAUCUAGUCGUGAUUGAUGAUGACGAAGACGAGUGA
rnacentral:rRNA from 1 species